UACGGAGGGGGCUAGCGUUGUCCGGAAUCACUGGGCUUAAAGCGUGUGUAGGCGGGCCCGUAAGUGUCUUGUGAAAUCCCACGGCUCAACCGUGGAACUGCUGGGCAUACUGCGGGUCUUGGGCCAACUAGGGGCAGCCGGAACAAGCGGUGGAGCGGUGAAAUGCGUAGAUAUCGCUUGGAACGCCGAAGGUGAAAACAGGCUGCUGGGGUUGCGCCGACGCUGAGACACGAAAGCCAGGGGAGCGAACGGG
rnacentral:rRNA from 1 species